rnacentral:rRNA from 1 species
UAUGACGUUAGCGGCGGACGGGUGAGUACACGUGGGCAACUGCUGUAAGACUGGGAUAACUUCGGGAAACCGAAGCUAAUACCGGAUAGGAUCUUCUCCUUCAUGGGAGAUGAUUGAAAGAUGGUUUCGGCUAUCACUUACAGAUGGGCCCGCG